rnacentral:rRNA from 1 species
AGAGUUUGAUCAUGGCUCAGGAUGAACGCUAGCUACAGGCUUAACACAUGCAAGUCGAGGGGCAGCAUGGUCUUAGCUUGCUAAGGCCGAUGGCGACCGGCGCACGGGUGAGUAACACGUAUCCAACCUGCCGUCUACUCUUGGACAGCCUUCUGAAAGGAAGAUUAAUACAAGAUGGCAUCAUGAGUCCGCAUGUUCACAUGAUUAAAGGUAUUCCGGUAGACGAUGGGGAUGCGUUCCAUUAGAUAGUAGGCGGGGUAACGGCCCACCUAGUCUUCGAUGGAUAGGGGUUCUGAGAGGAAGGUCCCCCACAUUGGAACUGAGACACGGUCCAAACUCCUACGGGAGGCAGCAGUGAGGAAUAUUGGUCAAUGGGCGAGAGCCUGAACCAGCCAAGUAGCGUGAAGGAUGACUGCCCUAUGGGUUGUAAACUUCUUUUAUAAAGGAAUAAAGUCGGGUAUGCAUACCCGUUUGCAUGUACUUUAUGAAUAAGGAUCGGCUAACUCCGUGCCAGCAGCCGCGGUAAUACGGAGGGUCCGAGCGUUAUCCGGAUUUAUUGGGUUUAAAGGGAGCGUAGAUGGAUGUUUAAGUCAGUUGUGAAAGUUUGCGGCUCAACCGUAAAAUUGCAGUUGAUACUGGAUAUCUUGAGUGCAGUUGAGGCAGGCGGAAUUCGUGGUGUAGCGGUGAAAUGCUUAGAUAUCACGAAGAACUCCGAUUGCGAAGGCAGCCUGCUAAGCUGCAACUGACAUUGAGGCUCGAAAGUGUGGGUAUCAAACAGGAUUAGAUACCCUGGUAGUCCACACGGUAAACGAUGAAUACUCGCUGUUUGCGAUAUACAGCAAGCGGCCAAGCGAAAGCGUUAAGUAUUCCACCUGGGGAGUACGCCGGCAACGGUGAAACUCAAAGGAAUUGACGGGGGCCCGCACAAGCGGAGGAACAUGUGGUUUAAUUCGAUGAUACGCGAGGAACCUUACCCGGGCUUAAAUUGCAGAUGAAUUACGGUGAAAGCCGUAAGCCGCAAGGCAUCUGUGAAGGUGCUGCAUGGUUGUCGUCAGCUCGUGCCGUGAGGUGUCGGCUUAAGUGCCAUAACGAGCGCAACCCUUGUUGUCAGUUACUAACAGGUUCUGCUGAGGACUCUGACAAGACUGCCAUCGUAAGAUGUGAGGAAGGUGGGGAUGACGUCAAAUCAGCACGGCCCCUACGUCCGGGGCUACACACGUGUUACAAUGGGGGGUACAGAGGGCCGCUACCACGCGAGUGGAUGCCAAUCCCCAAAACCUCUCUCAGUUCGGACUGGAGUCUGCAACCCGACUCCACGAAGCUGGAUUCGCUAGUAAUCGCGCAUCAGCCACGGCGCGGUGAAUACGUUCCCGGGCCUUGUACACACCGCCCGUCAAGCCAUGGGAGCCGGGGGUACCUGAAGUGCGUAACCGCGAGGAGCGCCCUAGGGUAAAACUGGUGACUGGGGCUAAGUCGUAACAAGGUA